AUUGAACGCUGGCGGCAUGCCUUACACAUGCAAGUCGAACGGUAACAGAUCUGCGGAUGCUGACGAGUGGCGAACGGGUGAGUAAUACAUCGGAACGUGCCUAGUAGUGGGGGAUAACUACUCGAAAGAGUGGCUAAUACCGCAUGAGAUCUACGGAUGAAAGCAGGGGAUCGCAAGACCUUGUGCUACUAGAGCGGCCGAUGGCAGAUUAGGUAGUUGGUGGGAUAAAAGCUUACCAAGCCGACGAUCUGUAGCUGGUCUGAGAGGACGAUCAGCCAAACUGGGACUGAGACACGGCCCAGACUCCUACGGGAGGCAGCAGUGGGGAAUUUUGGACAAUGGGCGCAAGCCUGAUCCAGCAAUGCCGCGUGCAGGAUGAAGGCCUUCGGGUUGUAAACUGCUUUUGUACGGAACGAAAAGCCCUGGGUUAAUACCCUGGGGUCAUGACGGUACCGUAAGAAUAAGCACCGGCUAACUACGUGCCAGCAGCCGCCGUAAGAC
rnacentral:rRNA from 1 species